AACGAACGCUGGCGGCAGGCCUAACACAUGCAAGUCGAGCGGACCCUUCGGGGUUAGCGGCGGACGGGUGAGUAACGCGUGGGAAUAUGCCCUUCUCUACGGAAUAGUCCUGGGAAACUGGGGGUAAUACCGUAUACGCCCUUUGGGGGAAAGAUUUAUCGGGGAAGGAUUAGCCCGCGUUGGAUUAGGUAGUUGGUGGGGUAAUGGCCUACCAAGCCGACGAUCCAUAGCUGGUUUGAGAGGAUGAUCAGCCACACUGGGACUGAGACACGGCCCAGACUCCUACGGGAGGCAGCAGUGGGGAAUCUUAGACAAUGGGGGCAACCCUGAGCUAGCCAUGCCGCGUGAGUGAUGAAGGCCUUAGGGUUGUAAAGCUCUUUCAGCUGGGAAGAUAAUGACGGUACCAGCAGAAGAAGCCCCGGCUAACUCCGU
rnacentral:rRNA from 1 species